CCUACGGGGGUCUGCAGUGGGGAAUAUUGCACAAUGGGCGCAAGCCUGAUGCAGCGACGCCGCGUGAGGGAUGACGGCCUUCGGGUUGUAAACCUCUUUCGCCAGGGACGAAGCGCAAGUGACGGUACCUGGAGAAGAAGCACCGGCCAACUACGUGCCAGCAGCCGCGGUAAUACGUAGGGUGCGAGCGUUGUCCGGAAUUACUGGGCGUAAAGAGCUCGUAGGCGGUUUGUCGCGUCGUCUGUGAAAUUCUGCAACUCAAUUGUAGGCGUGCAGGCGAUACGGGCAGACUUGAGUACUACAGGGGAGACUGGAAUUCCUGGUGUAGCGGUGAAAUGCGCAGAUAUCAGGAGGAACACCGGUGGCGAAGGCGGGUCUCUGGGUAGUUACUGACGCUGAGGAGCGAAAGCGUGGGGAGCGAACAGGAUUAGAUACCCGGGUAGUC
rnacentral:rRNA from 1 species